CUUUUCGCAACAUUGACGCAACCAAAAAAUACUGGAACAAAAGAAACAACUUCCUUGAAGCUUUGCUGAAACUGCACUUAGUCGGGGAAUGGCAGCUUGCUGUCAACUUGCCUCACUCGGGUGGGAAACAUCGAGGUGAGGGCUGGCCCGGCUGGCAGCGACUGAGUGAAGAGAGAGAGAGAGAGAGAGAGAGAGGGAGAGAGAGAUGCGGGCGAUGACUCCGGAACAGACAACCGAAUGGAGACGGAAGACGUGGAUGCUGAUGGUCUCCGCCCUCUUACUUAGAUGAAUCCAUCAUGCAGAUUUGAACAAGGCAAGUGCAGAGUGCCGAAGAGGAGGAGCAGAUGUUUCUGGUGAUGCUGUAGCAGCACAGAAUGGUUUGUGGGUUACUCUGAGAUGCAGGCCAUACCGUGCUGCCGCAAUAAAGCCUGAAUAACACAACAUGCAAGCGAUCACCUUUAAGCCCCUCCAGAUGUCUUUGAUGACCACUGGCUGCCUGAGCUCAUGUUAUCUAGAUAAUUGUGUUGCUAAUGACAGUGACGAAACGGUUCCAGGGUAUUUAUCAUUCUGACUCGCUGGUCGCCUUACUGUAGCAGCACGUAAAUAUUGGAGUUAAGACUAGCUGAAGUCUCCAGUAUUGAUCGUGCUGCUGAAGCAAAGCUGACCACUCACACACUCUGAAUGCUCUCAGACCCUCUGUAGGUGAUGAUGGGUUUCAUUACAUUGAAUUGAAAUUUUUUUUUUUUUUUUUUUUCAAUGAACUAUUUUGUUUGAAGAUUUUAAGUAUAUCUUGUUAUAUGUGAAUAUUUUUGAGAAAUAAAAACAUUAACUGAUCUCGUUUGUGUUUUUCUUAUUUAUUUAUUUCCCUAAUAACGACAUGCUUUAAUUGUAUGUUAACCUUUUUUUUGUUUGUCAAAGUAACACUAAACACGUUACAAGUGCUGACUCUUAAUAUUUUUCCACAGUUGUCCCAGAAUUACAGCCGCUAAGCAGAAGCGCUCACCGGGGCCUGCACGGCCUCUGCCGCGCUGCUCAGAUGGUCGUCAGAUCAGUUUAUGCAAACAUUAGAAGUAUCUGAUUUAAUUCGUCAGGGUUUUCGUUCCUAAUUUUCAAGAAUAAGAACAUGAUUUUUUUUAUCGUCACUCUUUAUUUUUAAAUGAUCUUGCACUUUUAAGUAUUUGUAGCCGCUGUAAAUCCCCUAAUGUCUGCGGUUACGUGAAGUCCUGCGGUUUCGUAACUGGUCAUCCCCCUCUGCCCCGCUACCAGACUCCUUUUCAAGCGCAGUUGGACGCGAAAGCGUUUCAAGUAUUUGCUAUGCGCUCAGAAUAUUACUGGCGAUAGUCUCAAAUUUGAUUCACCAAUUUUUUUUUUUUUUGCCUUGUGGGUUGUGAAAAUAACUUCCGUUUCCCGUUUCUUUUUUUCCUAAAAUAUAUACACAAACAUGAAAUGGAAGAUAUUCAAAGCUAGUCUAACACCUGCUUCACAAAUAUUAAACUUCUCUUUGAUAUCUAAAUUAAAAAGUGACCUUUUUCUGCUCGUUUAUUAAAUCAUUACAUUUUCAUUAACAAACAGGGUUUUCGUGCGGGGCCAAUAUUUUGUCCGCCUUAUAGCGUUUAUAUUCACUCCGGCCAUAUCGGGCCUCUUCAUAUUUAUUUAUUUAUUUUUGUAUUAAAAAUAAAAGAAUAGCCUAUUAAACUUCAUAAUCAUUUAAGUAAAUGUUACUUU